GGGUGAGUAACGCGUAUCCAACCUGCCCUUUACAACGGGACAGCCCGUCGAAAGGCGGAUUAAUACCGUAUGUUGUCAUGUUGAUGCAUAUUUUCAUGACCAAAGGCUUCGGCCGGUAAAGGAUGGGGAUGCGUCUGAUUAGCUUGCCGGCGGGGUAACGGCCCACCGGGGCGACGAUCAGUAGGGGUUCUGAGAGGAAGGUCCCCCACAUUGGAACUGAGACACGGUCCAAACUCCUACGGGAGGCAGCAGUGAGGAAUAUUGGUCAAUGGGCGCGAGCCUGAACCAGCCAAGUAGCGUGCAGGACGACGGCCCUAUGGGUUGUAAACUGCUUUUAUACGGGGAUAAAGUAUGCCACGUGUGGUUUAUUGCAGGUACCGUAUGAAUAAGGACCGGCUAAUUCCGUGCCAGCAGCCGCGGUAAUACGGAAGGUCCGGGCGUUAUCCGGAUUUAUUGGGUUUAAAGGGAGCGUAGGCCGGGUUUUAAGCGUGCCGUGAAAUGUCGGGGCUCAACCUUGACACUGCGGCGCGAACUGGAGUCCUUGAGUGCGCGGAACGUAUGCGGAAUUCGUGGUGUAGCGGUGAAAUGCUUAGAUAUCACGAAGAACCCCGAUUGCGAAGGCAGCAUACGGCAGCGCUACUGACGCUGAAGCUCGAAGGCGCGGGUAUCGAACAGGAUUAGAUACCCUGGUAGUCCGCGCGGUAAACGAU
rnacentral:rRNA from 1 species